UACGAAGGGGGCUAGCGUUGUUCGGAAUUACUGGGCGUAAAGCGCACGUAGGCGGCCAUUUAAGUCAGGGGUGAAAUCCCGGGGCUCAACCCCGGAACUGCCUUUGAUACUGGGUGGCUAGAGUCCGGAAGAGGUGAGUGGAAUUCCGAGUGUAGAGGUGAAAUUCGUAGAUAUUCGGAGGAACACCAGUGGCGAAGGCGGCUCACUGGUCCGGUACUGACGCUGAGGUGCGAAAGCGUGGGGAGCGAACAGG
rnacentral:rRNA from 1 species